GACGAACGCUGGCGGCGUGCCUAAUACAUGCAAGUAGAACGCACAGUUUAUACCGUAGCUUGCUACACCAUAAACUGUGAGUUGCGAACGGGUGAGUAACGCGUAGGUAACCUGCCUGGUAGCGGGGGAUAACUAUUGGAAACGAUAGCUAAUACCGCAUAAUAUUGAUUAUUGCAUGAUAAUUGAUUGAAAGAUGCUAUUGCAUCACUACCAGAUGGACCUGCGUUGUAUUAGCUAGUAGGUGAGGUAACGGCUCACCUAGGCGACGAUACAUAGCCGACCUGAGAGGGUGAUCGGCCACACUGGGACUGAGACACGGCCCAGACUCCUACGGGAGGCAGCAGUAGGGAAUCUUCGGCAAUGGACGAAAGUCUGACCGAGCAACGCCGCGGGAGUGAAGAAGGUUUUCGGAUCGUAAAGCUCUGUUGUAAGAGAAGAACGGGUAUGAGAGUGGAAAGUUCACACUGUGACGGUAGCUUACCAGAAAGGGACGGCUAACUACGUG
rnacentral:rRNA from 1 species